GUGAGCUGGCGGACGGCUUCGGACUUUGGUCUGAGGAAACUCCAUCCACCAUGCUGAACUGCAACACCUGCAAAGGUGUAAGGUGAGAGCCUUGGCAACAGAGCAGAAACGAAACGUCCAAACGCAGUUAAAGAUGAUGCGUGCUAAAUCGCUGAUGAUGCAUUUGGAAACGGUGAAACGGCUGUCCUGCAGGGUGAAAGGGCGAAUAGGCGUUGUUGACCUCAGCAAGAGACGCGGGUAGCCCGUACAGCUAAAUGCCGUCAAAAACAAAAGAUGGGCUACGACCAGCACAC
rnacentral:RNase_P_RNA from 1 species